rnacentral:rRNA from 1 species
UACGUAGGGCGCAAGCGUUGUCCGGAAUUAUUGGGCGUAAAGAGCUCGUAGGCGGUUUGUCGCGUCUGCUGUGAAAACCUAAGGCUCAACCUUGGGCUUGCAGUGGGUACGGGCAGACUAGAGUGCGGUAGGGGGUGACUGGAAUUCCUGGUGGUAGCGGUGGAAUGCGCAGAUAUCGAGGAGGAACACCGAUGGCGAAGGCAGGUCACUGGGCCGCAACUG